GUUGGCUAGAAAUUUGAAAGAGAAAAUUUGAAGGGGAAAAAGGGAUAAACAGAAGAAGGAAGAGGACUGCUUCAACUGAUAGAUUUGAAAUGUGGUCAUUUCAUUCCAAAAAAUUGAGUAAACUACAUUAUUGUCAAGCGCAAGCUUUCGGAGCUCCAUUUCAUGGAAAAUUACAGAAAAAUUGGGAUCACUCCUCCAUGAUCUCGUUUUCUGGAAUCUGAAACAGUGUAAUUCCCACAUUCACUCGUGCUUAAAAAAUAGCUUCUUGCCCACCUUUUGCCUUGUGAAGAUCAAUAAAAUGUAGUAAGACUUCUGCGGAAAGAGAAAGGAUGAAUUCUAACUUGAGCAAGUUUCAAAGUUUCUACCCAAUGUAGAGCAUCCACAUAAGGAUAUCAUCUGUUCACGAAGCACGCGACGAUCCAGUGAAUCAAGUUAUUUUCAGGCUUAGACCAGUAGAAUCCUUGAAUUGCAAUAACAGCUAUGUUAGAAGUUACAAGAACAAAGAUACUUAAGGAAUGCUUUCCCAUCCACCCCAGUGGCGUUGUCACCCAUCUGUAACCAUAUACAUCUACCAGCAAGUAUAAAGCAAAGAAUGUGAUUCCUGC
rnacentral:misc_RNA from 1 species